rnacentral:rRNA from 1 species
AUUGAACGCUGGCGGCAGGCUUAACACAUGCAAGUCGAACGAUGAAGAUAUAGCUUGCUAUAUCGGAUUAGUGGCGGACGGGUGAGUAACACUUAGGAAUCUACCUUUUAGCGGGGGAUAGCUCGGGGAAACUCGAAUUAAUACCGCAUAAUUUCUACGGAAUAAAGAGGGCUUUUAGCUCUCACUAGAAGAUGAGCCUAAGUAAGAUUAGCUAGUUGGUGGGGUAAAAGCCUACCAAGGCGACGAUCUUUAGCUGGUCUGAGAGGAUGAUCAGCCACACUGGGACUGAGACACGGCCCAGACUCCUACGGGAGGCAGCAGUGGGGAAUAUUGGACAAUGGGGGCAACCCUGAUCCAGCCAUGCCGCGUGUGUGAAGAAGGCCUUUUGGUUGUAAAGCACUUUAAGCAGUGAAGAAGACCUAUUGGUUAAUACCCAAUAGCGAUGACAUUAACUGCAGAAUAAGCACCGGCUAACUCUGUGCCAGCAGCCGCGGUAAUACAGAGGGUGCAAGCGUUAAUCGGAAUUACUGGGCGUAAAGCGAGCGUAGGUGGUUAAAUAAGUCAGAUGUGAAAGCCCUGGGCUCAACCUAGGAACGGCAUCUGAAACUAUUUAACUAGAGUAGGUGAGAGGGAAGUAGAAUUUCAGGUGUAGCGGUGAAAUGCGUAGAGAUCUGAAGGAAUACCGAUGGCGAAGGCAGCUUCCUGGCAUCAUACUGACACUGAGGCUCGGAAGCGUGGGUAGCAAACAGG